rnacentral:rRNA from 1 species
CACGUAGGGGACGAGCGUUGUCCGGAUUCAUUGGGCGUAAAGCGCGCGUGAGCGGCUCGGAAAGUCGGUCGUGAAAUGCCGGGGCUCAACCCCGGGACUGCGUCCGAUACUCCCGAGCUGGAGGCAGGUAGGGGAGAUCGGAAUUCCUGGUGUAGCGGUGAAAUGCGCAGAUAUCAGGAGGAACACCAAUUGCGAAGGCAGCUCGCUGGAACGUAACUGACGCUGAGACGCGAAAGCGUGGGGAGCAAACAGG